CAUAGGUUAAUGAGGCGAACCGGGGGAACUGAAACAUCUAAGUACCCCGAGGAAAAGAAAUCAACCGAGAUUCCCCCAGUAGCGGCGAGCGAACGGGGAGGAGCCCAGAGCCUGAAUCAGUGUGUGUGUUAGUGGAAGCGUCUGGAAAGGCGCGCGAUACAGGGUGACAGCCCCGUACACAAAAAUGCACAUGCUGUGAGCUCGAUGAGUAGGGCGGGACACGUGGUAUCCUGUCUGAAUAUGGGGGGACCAUCCUCCAAGGCUAAAUACUCCUGACUGACCGAUAGUGAACCAGUACCGUGAGGGAAAGGCGAAAAGAACCCCGGCGAGGGGAGUGAAAAAGAACCUGAAACCGUGUACGUACAAGCAGUGGGAGCACGCUUAGGCGUGUGACUGCGUACCUUUUGUAUAAUGGGUCAGCGACUUAUAUUCUGUAGCAAGGUUAACCGAAUAGGGGAGCCGAAGGGAAACCGAGUCUUAACUGGGCGUUAAGUUGCAGGGUAUAGACCCGAAACCCGGUGAUCUAGCCAUGGGCAGGUUGAAGGUUGGGUAACACUAACUGGAGGACCGAACCGACUAAUGUUGAAAAAUUAGCGGAUGACUUGUGGCUGGGGGUGAAAGGCCAAUCAAACCGGGAGAUAGCUGGUUCUCCCCGAAAGCUAUUUAGGUAGCGCCUCGUGAAUUCAUCUCCGGGGGUAGAGCACUGUUUCGGCAAGGGGGUCAUCCCGACUUACCAACCCGAUGCAAACUGCGAAUACCGGAGAAUGUUAUCACGGGAGACACACGGCGGGUGCUAACGUCCGUCGUGAAGAGGGAAACAACCCAGACCGCCAGCUAAGGUCCCAAAGUCAUGGUUAAGUGGGAAACGAUGUGGGAAGGCCCAGACAGCCAGGAUGUUGGCUUAGAAGCAGCCAUCAUUUAAAGAAAGCGUAAUAGCUCACUGGUCGAGUCGGCCUGCGCGGAAGAUGUAACGGGGCUAAACCAUGCACCGAAGCUGCGGCAGCGACGCUUAUGCGUUGUUGGGUAGGGGAGCGUUCUGUAAGCCUGUGAAGGUGUGCUGUGAGGCAUGCUGGAGGUAUCAGAAGUGCGAAUGCUGACAUAAGUAACGAUAAAGCGGGUGAAAAGCCCGCUCGCCGGAAGACCAAGGGUUCCUGUCCAACGUUAAUCGGGGCAGGGUGAGUCGACCCCUAAGGCGAGGCCGAAAGGCGUAGUCGAUGGGAAACAGGUUAAUAUUCCUGUACUUGGUGUUACUGCGAAGGGGGGACGGAGAAGGCUAUGUUGGCCGGGCGACGGUUGUCCCGGUUUAAGCGUGUAGGCUGGUUUUCCAGGCAAAUCCGGAAAAUCAAGGCUGAGGCGUGAUGACGAGGCACUACGGUGCUGAAGCAACAAAUGCCCUGCUUCCAGGAAAAGCCUCUAAGCAUCAGGUAACAUCAAAUCGUACCCCAAACCGACACAGGUGGUCAGGUAGAGAAUACCAAGGCGCUUGAGAGAACUCGGGUGAAGGAACUAGGCAAAAUGGUGCCGUAACUUCGGGAGAAGGCACGCUGAUAUGUAGGUGAAGCGACUUGCUCGUGGAGCUGAAAUCAGUCGAAGAUACCAGCUGGCUGCAACUGUUUAUUAAAAACACAGCACUGUGCAAACACGAAAGUGGACGUAUACGGUGUGACGCCUGCCCGGUGCCGGAAGGUUAAUUGAUGGGGUCAGCGCAAGCGAAGCUCUUGAUCGAAGCCCCGGUAAACGGCGGCCGUAACUAUAACGGUCCUAAGGUAGCGAAAUUCCUUGUCGGGUAAGUUCCGACCUGCACGAAUGGCGUAAUGAUGGCCAGGCUGUCUCCACCCGAGACUCAGUGAAAUUGAACUCGCUGUGAAGAUGCAGUGUACCCGCGGCAAGACGGAAAGACCCCGUGAACCUUUACUAUAGCUUGACACUGAACAUUGAGCCUUGAUGUGUAGGAUAGGUGGGAGGCUUUGAAGUGUGGACGCCAGUCUGCAUGGAGCCGACCUUGAAAUACCACCCUUUAAUGUUUGAUGUUCUAACGUUGACCCGUAAUCCGGGUUGCGGACAGUGUCUGGUGGGUAGUUUGACUGGGGCGGUCUCCUCCUAAAGAGUAACGGAGGAGCACGAAGGUUGGCUAAUCCUGGUCGGACAUCAGGAGGUUAGUGCAAUGGCAUAAGCCAGCUUGACUGCGAGCGUGACGGCGCGAGCAGGUGCGAAAGCAGGUCAUAGUGAUCCGGUGGUUCUGAAUGGAAGGGCCAUCGCUCAACGGAUAAAAGGUACUCCGGGGAUAACAGGCUGAUACCGCCCAAGAGUUCAUAUCGACGGCGGUGUUUGGCACCUCGAUGUCGGCUCAUCACAUCCUGGGGCUGAAGUAGGUCCCAAGGGUAUGGCUGUUCGCCAUUUAAAGUGGUACGCGAGCUGGGUUUAGAACGUCGUGAGACAGUUCGGUCCCUAUCUGCCGUGGGCGCUGGAGAACUGAGGGGGGCUGCUCCUAGUACGAGAGGACCGGAGUGGACGCAUCACUGGUGUUCGGGUUGUCAUGCCAAUGGCACUGCCCGGUAGCUAAAUGCGGAAGAGAUAAGUGCUGAAAGCAUCUAAGCACGAAACUUGCCCCGAGAUGAGUUCUCCCUGACUCCUUGAGAGUCCUGAAGGAACGUUGAAGACGACGACGUUGAUAGGCCGGGUGUGUAAGCGCAGCGAUGCGUUGAGCUAACCGGUACUAAUGAACCGUGAG
rnacentral:rRNA from 1 species